rnacentral:lncRNA from 1 species
UCUGGGGGCAGGGCGGGGUGGCUCACACCUGUAAUACCAACUACUCGGGAGGCAGAGGCGGGAGGAUCACGUGAGCCCAGGAGUUGGAGACCACCCUGGGCAACAGAGCGAGACCCAGACGCUACAAAAAAUAUAAAAAUUAGCUGGGCGAUUGUAGUCCCAGGUACUCGGCAAGCUGAGGCGGGAGGGUUUGAGCCCAAGAGGUCGAGGCUGCAUUGAGCCCAGAUGGCGCCACUGCACACCAGCCUGGGAGACAAAGCAAGACCCUGUCUCAAAAAGAAAAAGAAAAACAAAAACCAGUAUGGGAUGUUCCUGUUAGGCAACUAAGGGUGAAAAAUCAGAGCACGACGCAUAGCUUCUCACAGAUUCUGGUGUGCGUGCCACACCAGAGAAUAAGGAACUCCAUAGCCUGAAAGGGAACUGAAUAAAAAUAAACAUAAAAGAGAAUAAGAAA